GCUGAUCGUAAUUAUGUAAUGCUUUCUACUUCAAAAAAAAUUUCUAUACAUGAUUUCAUAAUUUGAUACAAAAUAUCAUAUUUCUGUAAGUACUGCAUUUAAAGAUAUUUCUUAUACCAGAAUGUCAUAAUUUUAACCUACAAUAUCAUAAUUUUGACCUAUCAUGUCAUAAUUAUGCAUUCAAAGAUAUUUUCUGUACUAGGAUGUUAUAAUUUUAACAUAUAAUAUCAUAAUUUUAAUC
rnacentral:lncRNA from 1 species